rnacentral:rRNA from 1 species
AAUGGGGGAAACCCUGACGCAGCAACGCCGCGUGAGGGAAGAAGGCUUUCGGGUUGUAAACCUCUUUUAGUGGGAAAGAAAAAAAUGACGGUACCCACAGAAAAAGCACCGGCUAACUACGUGCCAGCAGCCGCGGUAAUACGUAGGGUGCAAGCGUUAUUCGGAAUUAUUGGGCGUAAAGCGCGUGUAGGCGGUCUAGUUAGUCUAAUGUGAAAUCCCUCGACUCAAUCGAGGAACUGCAUCGGAUACUGCUAGACUAGAGUACAGGAGGGGUGAGCGGAAUUCCUGGUGUAGAGGUGAAAUUCGUAGAUAUCAGGAGGAACAACAGCGGCGAAGGCGGCUCACUGGACUGUAACUGACGCUCAGACGCGAAAGCGUGGGGAGCAAA